rnacentral:rRNA from 1 species
AGUAACAAGUGAUUAACUUACCCUUCAGUGGGGCAUAACCUCGGGAAACUGAGGCUAAUUCCCCAUAGUUGAAACGGCCUGGAAUGGUGUUUCAUCGAAAGGAUAUAACAAAUGCGUUAUAUUUGCUGAAGGAUAGGAUUGCUCCCGAUUAUGGUUGUUGGCGAGGUAAUGGCUCACCAAGCCUGUGAUCGGUAAGGGCCGUGAGAGCGGGAGCCCUGAGAUGGGUACUGAGACAAGGACCCAGGCCUUACGAGGCGCAGCAGGCGCGAAAACUUUACCAUGCACGAAAGUGUGAUAAGGUUACCCGGAGUGCUAGGAGUAUAACUGCUAGCUGUUAUAGUGUGUAGAUAACACUAUGAGAAAGGAGAGGGCAAGGCUGGUGCCAGCCGCCGCGGUAAAACCAGCUCUUCAAGUGGUCGGGACUAUUAUUGGGCUUAAAGUGUCCGUAGCCGGUUUGGUAAGUCCCUGGUCAAAGCUGACAGCUUAACUGUCAGUUCGCUAGGGAAACUACCUUACUAGAGGGCGGGAAAGGUGUGAGGUACUCCAGGGGUAGCGGUGAAAUGCGAUAAUCCUUGGGG